CAGCCCGGCACGGCACGGCAGCUGUGCGAGCGCGGCAGCUAUACGCGCCGGCAUCUCAGACGGACGCUGGGCACCCUUUGGCACACCGUCUCAUUUUCCGUUAUGAUGCUGCACAUUGAGUCCUAUGCUGGAGAAGGAGAACUGCAAGGGACAAAAUGGCCAUUCACUCAAGGGAUCCAUUCAGGCUGCUCAUAAUGGUUUUACAAGAAUUCAUGCACUUGGAUGACUGCUGAGUUUCCUUAGUCCUGCUCCAUUGCCUUCCUCACGAGACAAUUUGGACUGACUGCUUUUUCUUUGCUCUCCCCCCCAGCUCAAUAGACAUCAACUACGUCUGGAAAAGCAAAACUGUGAUCCAGGUAGCAUAGGAACAACCUGGAGGCUUUUUGUCUUUAGAAAUAGUUUAACUUCAACAUGGCACGGACAAGCUCCUUGCCAAGAAUGUGUGAAAAUAAAAACCCUUUUUCUCCUCUCCUAUCACAAAUCGUUGCAAAAAGCUGCAUCGAUGGCAGAUGCAGAACCAGGCAGGGACCGACUGAAGGGGAAGAUCAGGAAGGAGCCCCAGACACUGUAUGAAGUCAGCAGUGGGGGAAGCAUCCCAACAAAGAGAACUAAAGUGGGAACUAAAGAGACCUAUCAAAGUGUCUAACUUUGACAGGUAAGCCAUUGACAUUUGAUUGAGCUCUCACAGAUUUUUAUCAACACAGAAAAAGGAGUAUUCGACACUGUAUAACCCACUGGUGUACGUUCUUUAACAGGCAGCUGUGCUUUCCUAAGUGAUCACAGCUGCUCUCUUUAGCAGCUCCUCCCUUCCAAAUGCUCAGCUUCUUCCCUCAGCACCACUGAAGGCCUUUGGUUCCCUUCAGAAAUGGAGCCCACGUGACUGAUCUGCCUCUUUGUGCACCUGUUAUCUUCAGUCAUUUUUGAUCCUAUCAUCAGUUGACUCGUGACAGUGGUGAACUGCUUUGUGUAUUCAGCUUUUUUUUCCACCUAGAGUUAAAAAUGAAGAUUACUACUUUUUUUAAAAAAAGUUACACCUAACCAGAACACCUAUAUCAAAAAGAUUGUAUCAUAAAGAUCUGUAUCAUUAAGACUUUUUAUGACACCUAAUUCCAGUGUUUGUGCUGCAAGAAGUGCUUUCAAGCAUGAACUUGGUUUCCAGGAGAGAAGUUUGCUUGCCAACAGCAGAGGAUGGCUUAUCUGAAGGGAAGAACAAUGGUGAUGUUCAGAGCAGACAAACAGCCAAUGGAGUGCUCUCCUCCCACUUGAGCCCCCACAGACACUCUGAUGGCUUUACAGGACACAGCUUAUCCUUACAACUGAUGUGUAUUACAGAAGACCUUCGAGACCUUCAAAUGAAGAGAUGUUUGUAACUAAAAAGCAUUUAGUAUAAUAGAGUCCAAUAAAACAAGUUCUUUAGUGUAUAUGCAAUUGCACUGAAUGUUUUGGAGUGUAAUGUCAUUCUGCUUUUGCAUACAUUCUUUUUCUGAGUAAAACAUUUGUGCACAGUAUUGGAGAUGGAAUUUUACGUAGUUACAGUGGAUGACCUUCAGCUUUUAUUUUUUGCCUCACACUCUCACAAAAUAUAAGCUAAGCUACAACUCAGUCUCACACUUUGACCUUUUAAAAUUUACUUUUAAAAAUAGAGGUUAUCUUUUAUGUUGCAAAUUAUGCCUUCAUCUUGUAUAAUCCCACAAGUCUGAUAUCACAGUCCCACUUCAAUUAUGCUAAACUCUUAUGUUAAUUUUAAAUCAUGUAACUUAAUUCCUGGCAAAGCAGGCUGGUGAUUUUCAAAAUGUGGUUAAUGAGGCAAAGUACAAUCUAGAUUCUGCUACUGAGAUCAUCUGAAUCCCUUAGGUCACUGAAGAUGACUGUGGAGAGGCUCUUCUUUGCAAAAGUCGGGCUUAGAUUUUCAAAAAAUGAAUUUUUAAGUGCAGUGAGGGGCUAUGAAAUUUGAAGUUGAGCAUACAAAGAAGUUGAAUUACUUUCACUAGAGCCAUAGAACAACAGUGCAGCUAAAACAAUUACACUUCUGUGCACACACGCUUCAAAAGCCUUAAGUAGCAUCCUCCCUUUUUAAAUCACAAAUGCAAACCAUACCAGAUUUUCAAGAUGACAGCCCAGGGACCUGGUGCCUAUGUCCAUGGAUGCUUGCAAAUCAGUAUCAUUUUCCCUCUCAUUUGCAGAAACCAAACAUUUGCUAAUAACUUCUUUCACCCUCUCAACUCAAACAAUGGUUUUAUCUGAGAACAGCUAGUAGACAAAAUCUUAUGAGACUGUACAGCUUUUUCAGUACAAUUACAUCCCUCUCCACAUCCAAAUCUCUUUCAUUCUCUGGUCAGAUAGGCUGAAAGCUUGUCACUGAGGCAAGCUCAACGUUAAGUCUCCAAAGAGCU